UACGUAGGGGGCAAGCGUUGUUCGGAAUUACUGGGCGUAAAGCGCGCGUAGGCGGUCUGAAAAGUCAGAUGUGAAAGCCCCGGGCUCAACUUGGGAACUGCAUUUGACACUGUCAGACUAGAGUACAGAAGAGGUGACUGGAAUUCCCAGUGUAGCGGUGAAAUGCGUAGAUAUUGGGAGGAACACCAGAUGCGAAGGCGGGUCACUGGGCUGAUACUGACGCUGAAGUGCGAAAGCCAGGGGAGCGAACGGG
rnacentral:rRNA from 1 species